rnacentral:lncRNA from 1 species
UCUUCAAAUUUCUUAACAAAUGUAAUUUAUCUUAUUCAAUUAAAUUAAAUAAAAGAAACAAUUUUUACCAUUUUCUUAGAGUUAAUUAACUCUGGUCAAUUUCCAUUGUUACUGUAAAGGUCAGUGUCAUUAAACUGAAACAUAUAGUGCUGGAAACUUCACUAUUCUCCAAAUAUUUACAUGAAUAAUUGUACAUCUCUAACAUGAUCAAUUAACUAACUUCAACCUUUAUUAUGAAUAUCAGAAUAAAGCUAUAGAUCUGAAUUCACUUACUCCAAGCAUUAAAACAGAUGAAUUUUACACAUGCGCGUCUAACU